CAGGACUACUGAAGACUUUGAAAGGGACUAUGUUGGUCUUCCCUACGGAUGGAGGGUUUCCUGCGAUCUUAACCAUUCAACUGCCUCCUUCCCUGAAAGAAUUGAGCCAAGAUUCAGAUAAGAUUCUUCAGGCAGGACACAGAACAGCCAGACCUGCUGUACAGACGGCUUGCACUGCACACCGCCCCAGAUUGCUGCAUAUGCAGCCAGCAGCUGUUCAAAUAAACAGACAUGGCUCAGAAGGCUUGGGUCCUUCUCCAAUUAGCUCGUGCCUCCAUAUAAAAGAUUUGGAGAGUACUGCGGUGUUCUGAAUGGAAAA
rnacentral:lncRNA from 1 species